AAUGGAAAUUAUGGAGGAUGAGUCUCGAAAGGCUACGAAUCGUCUUAUUCCCAUCGCUAGGUACGGUACACGUUACAAUGAUGCGCAGACGUGUGACCAACGGCCACGUUGUCUGCAUGCCGUUCAAUUGAACCAGCGGCAUCUACGGGCAAAUCAUCUGUCUCGUUAUCGUACUGUUAAAACCACCGUGAUGUUGGUACCUCCAUUGUCACGACUACAAACACCUCCAUGCACCCAUCUUUGGAGUCUUGCAGCCGCCUUCUUUUCUGUUAUGGAUCUUCAUUGAUGUUCAUUGCUAAUACGAAUAGUUGAGAGAAAGGAGGAUAUUUUAAAAUUAAUGGAAGCAUACGAGAUCGUUCAUGGAUAGAGCAAAAAUAAAAGGGAAGGCAUACGAGAAUCUGUGAUUCUUUCUUCUUAUCAGAGAGGCGUGACUUUACGAGGUUACUGAUAAAUGAUAAUUGUGGGGAUUUCUUAUCGAGUCAUCCAGCAUACGUAAAACUACAACUGUCGUAAUUACUUUCUAAAACACUUUUUUCACCUUAUGUCAACACUUUCCCAAUUCUGUAAUCAAUCAAAAAAAUAUUUAAAAAAACGUAGAGUGUAGUACGUACUACGCUUACAAAGUACAAAAGGAUAUAUACUUACAAGAGAGGUAAUAAAAAGUUAAUUUUUUGAAGUCAUUUUUUCUUUAUAAAAAAUUAUUACGCCAUCAGCUGUCUAUUUAGAACUGAUUUAAAAAAAUGUUUUUGUUCCUUAGAAUGUACUCUCAUAUUACUUUAGAUUAAACUCUUUAAAUAAAAUAGAAUUGAACAGAUAAUGAAUAACUUAAAUAGAUUAAUUUACUUUAACUUAAGAUUACUUAUUUUACUUUCUAAUUCAUAAUAUAAUCUGAUAUUUUUUGGAAAUCGCAACAUUUGUACACAUGUUUCUCCAUUUUCUAUCAAAAAGUCAGCAAUGUUUUGAAACAUAGUCAUACAUAAAGUUGACGUAAUCAAAUGAUAGAUUUACAAAAGAACAUUGAAUUUCGUGUUACAAUGAACAGUUAUAUGUAUCCGUUACAUUUGCAAGCUUAUGUAGUUGUAAAAUAGCAUGCUGGUGUUCUAAAAAAAAUUCAGGAAUCUACUUGGAACAACAUAAAAUAAUGAAGUAACUUCGAAGUGAUUAGACUUUUCAUUAUUGCAAUCUCUCAUUUUCAAAAUGAAGGGAAUAGAGCAUACUUUUGCAAAACAAAUUACACUGCAAGAUGAAUCAAUGACCAAACAAUCACAGAAUAUGGCACAUCCGAAUUUUCUUUUAUGUUAAUACGUCCCAAAGCAAGUUCUGUAAGAGGAAUCAGGAUGUCCCACAUACCAUGCCAGGGCAAACAGCGUCAGUUGUAAGAUGAAUGUUACGCUCUAUUAGCAAACGGAUUCGCAUAAACAAAUUUGUAUAAACAAAUACGAUGAAAUUUUUUUCUUUUCAUUGAAAUCGAAGAAGAUUUACUGAUUGCUAUAGACUGUAACUAAUUAGAUAUUUUCGAAAACAUCCAAUAUAAUUAUCCAAUCAUCAUCAUUUUCCGUGAGUGAUAUUCACAAAGAUUAAUUAAUUUUUUUCGUUAUUUUUGACGCAUUUCCAUUCUCUAAAACUUUAGAAAGAAUUUACAGAUUGAUGCUAUUAUAAAUAAAUAAAGCAUCAGACAAAUUUCUAUAGAUUUUUACCAACAAAUUCCUAUAGAUUCUUUUUUUAAAUCAUCACAUCAGUGAUUUUCUAAUGAUUCGUCAAUUAGACAAAUUGUUCAUUACUUUUGUAAAAUAUUUUGAAAACUGUUUUAACAUGUAACAAUAUUGUGAAGCAACAAAUUUGCCAUAAAGGAGAGUCAUAGAAGCGUGCUGAUAAAGUUUAACUUGCUUUAAUCCCGUUUACUGUUUCAUGGCCAAGAUACAUGCAUGUAGCCAGUGAACACGGUAACAGAUAUAAACCGCACAGGUACUCUACUCUCGCAGUAGCGGGCAGUGUCCACUUCUCAGUUUCAAACACGCCAUUAACUCCAUCUAGAAAUUCAUUUUUCCUAUAUCAACUUUGCACUUCGCGGCACGUUCAACUAGCCUGACAGAGUUGCGUCGAACCGUUAACUCGUUUGUAAGUCGCAAUUUCAAACUGGCAAUUUAUAUGUAUAUUCAAAAGUAGUAAAUUCCAAUCCCCUGUCCUGCCAUAAUAUGAUACUUACGAGACUUGGAUGUAUUAAAAUUGUCAUGUAAAUAUAAUAACUUUAAUAUGGAUUAUUAUCUAUGAUAUGUUAAUAAGAUUAAACAUACCUCUACUUUUAAAAUAGAGAAAAAAAAAUUGAACUUUGAAAAUUGCUCGGCGUCUUUUGCUGCUAUUCUCGCCUGUUACGCCACUGAUUGUUUCACGCGGCGUUGGCGUGCACUGUAUUUGGCGAGGAUCAAUAUCCUCGGUGUGCAUCAUCAAAAUCCUGAUUUUUUUAUCGACUGAUCAUAUUAACGUGUCAUCUGCCUAGAAUUUGUUACUAUUUUGUAUAAACACAAAUUACAAUAUUUACAUUUCGUGCGCCAAAGUUCCUAGUUUAUGAAAAUGAAUUUAUAUAAGAGGUACGAACAAUUGGCGGUAAAUUAACUGAUCAGAAGUUUUGUACUAAUAAUUAAUGGUAAAUAAAUACCAAUGAUACGAAGGUUCGAAGUAACACAUACAAAUUCACAACGAACUUUUAUCAUUUGUAAUUGCGAAGAACAAAUUGAAUCGGUGUCCCGUUCGCUAAGCAUCGACGGAUGCGCGUGGAUGCGCAUACGCAUGCGCACACGGCCUUAAUGGUCAAGAGAAGACGAGAAAAGAAAUGCGAUAGAAGGGGCAGGAGGGGGGAUCAGGUAAGAGGGAACCAAUCGUCAGGCUCGCUCAUCUCUCUACGAAAGAGUUCCUCUUUGCCGGCGCAUACCGGACAUUCCGUUUCUUCACCUUGAGAAGAUACGUAUACCACGCACUCACGCAACAUGUUGUGACACGCACUACUAUUCCUUUCGCAUUUCAUGGAGAGACAUAACCGUCACACACGCACAUCAUACACAUACACGUAUGUGACGUGCGGGUGCGCAACUUCGUAUGUACUUUUGAAUAACAUUCUUUAUCAUAUUUAUAACUGAAUAUAGUUCCAAAUCAACUGAAAAGAGAUCAAUUAAAUCGAUUGGGUUUUGGCUAGUCACAUAUUUCUGAAAACUGGCACGUUGACUCCCAAUCGAGGGCAAUUUCAAUGAUACCAAGCGUACUGUGAAUACAAAGUAGAAUUUCACGCCGAAGAAGACAAUUAAUUACUUUCGGAUUGUUGUAUCAGCAAGGUCGACCUCAAGGAUGAGCAUUUUCGAUACGAAUGGAAUUCCUUCACAAAGCAAAUAAUGGAAGAAUUAAUAAAAACGCGUAUCACGAAUGAUAUAAGAAAAAAGGAAUUCAAUUUUGCAACUACAAAGAAGAAAUAUAAUUACAGACUUUGUUAAAUGGUCAUAAGCAUUUAAAGAUCUUCUAAUUUGUUAAAAUUCAAUUAUACAUGUGCUUCUUGUACUAUAUAUCUACGCAAUGUAUGUGUCUUACAAAAGAAAUUAAUAGCACUGGAUCAUUAGAAAGGUAAUAUUGUAUUAAUGUGAAACAAUAGAAAAAAAGUGAAUGAAAGUGAAAACUGCCGUUAGUUUCAGAUAACAGUAAGAAAUGAGUAGUUUGCAAGCAGGAUCAUAAGAACUUCAAAAUGAGUCAGCUGCUGUGAAUCAUCUUAUAAUAAGCCUUCCCAAUCUCGAAUAGAGUACUAUAUGAAAGAAAGUUACAUUCUUUUUUAUUUUUGUUCUUUUAGCUGACAUCUAACGGUUUCAAUAAUUAUAAUAUUUGAAGAAAAUGAUGCUAAUGAAUAAAAAAUGAUAAUUCGUCAGAACUUUAUUAUAAAGUCUACAGAAAAUGAGAUAUUGUUUGGAGAUACAUGUUUUAAACAUUUAAAUGUUUAAAUAUAUAUUUUAAUUAAUGAAUUAACAUAUUUCUAAUAGAAAUGCACCAUCACUAUUAUAAUUAAACUGUAAAACCAGAUUUUUCAGGAAUAUAUAUAUGAAUUUCAUUUGAAUGGAAAUCAGUAUUAGAAGUUGUUCGAUUGUCGUAUUAAAACGCACAGAAGAAAAUAUUGAACAGAACGGAGACAGCCGUUUAUUCGAAAUGAAAAAGCAGUCGACGCCUUAAUGAUGCUUCGACUACGUGGAAACUGUUCAAAAUUUGCCAAGGUAGAACCGGCAAAUCGUGAAAAUUAUCAUUUGUUUUCAAGGAUAUGAGAAAGUAGUUUGAUUUAAGACAAUUUUUAAACUACAUGGUAGUUUUGUUGUUUUCAAAUUAGAAACAAUUCAUCGGCAUAGCGACUGCAACAAAAUCUGGUUUUACUCAACGUUUUCCAAAGUAUAUGUUGAGUUAAUCGUUAGUCAUCAAUACCAUGAAGCUGACCUACAUGUGUGCCAGGAAAUGGAUCUUUCCUUGCACUUAAUCAGUGAAUUACACUUUGGAUACGAGCAAAUCGAUCGACAACUAACUUUUUAUACCGUGUCGAAUCAUGUCGAAACGUAUACAAUGAUUCUAAGUGAUAUUAAAAUUUAAUGAUAGUGGCAGUUGAAGAAUAUCGUACUGUGUGCUACCCGUUUUCGAGAUCACUGGCCAUAUAUAAACGAGAGAUCUUCCUAUUGAUGAAAUUAAAAUCCGGUUCCUACUCGCGGAAACCUAUCUUCUUGCCAACAAUAAAAAAUCGAUCGAUGAUUCUAUCUAGCCAGCUUGACCAGAGAGACUAUAAAAGGAAGAACGAUUCUCGGAGUCGGUUUUCCACGGCACAUAGAUACCUAUGGUUCGAGUCUAGCCGAUCCAUCGGCCGAUCUAUGCAGGUGCACACACCAGAGAGAAGACAUUUUGCGAGCCUUCUUUUCCUUUCUAUGUCUGGUACACGUAGAACACGUACGGUGGACGUGAAACGCAUAAUACGUUACGUUUGAAUGGCAAAGCACCAUGAUCGCAAUUCUAUUUGGUCUCAUAUCAAAUGUGACACGAUACAGUUACCCAUGAUGAGAUUAAAAUGUGGAAAAAAAAACGUGCACAAAUUAUUGCACACCAGAUUGAAUUUGACAAAAAGAAUUCUCAAUUUCUCAAGUCUUAAAACAUUUUUUUGCUGAUGCUUUCUCUAAAUGUACCUAAUAAUUGUUUCAUUUGAUGAAUUCUUUUUCAGGUCGAUAGAUUAUGUAUUACGACAGAUUAUGUAUUAUUUUUUACAACUGGCCUUCAUUGGUCAACGUGGCGAUUGCAAGAAGAAGAAACAACGACGAGAUUUUCCUUACGGAGCAUUUGCUACUCUAACUGCUUCAUCGAAGAAAACAUCUUCUCCUCCUCCACUGAAGAGUUUAUACUCUUCAAGAAAAUUCUCAAGAAAUGCGUUAGAACGAAACGAUAGAUGAAGGGACGACGAUCGUGGUCGUGGAUUGGAUUAUAAAAGAUGAGCUGAGAAAGAAUAAGGAGGGAGGGCUGGCUGGCCGGUUGCCUGGUCGCUUCGAAUCUCUGGCACCCUUUAGCCGAGUUUAGGCGGACAGUAAGCGAACCCGUUACAGGUCUCCUUGAACUUGUUCUCCAGCCAGAUGAUGAAUUAUCUUUACAUCGAACAAGACCAGAGUGUAGCCGAGACCGGUCCCCAAAGACGAUUCACGAUCGUGUCGUGUGGACGUUAGAAAAUUAAAAAUUUUUAGCGGCUUAGCGAUACUAGAAAACUCUUGGAGGAAGAAAAAAAAAAAAGAAUAAGAAUCGAGACUUCUCGCACAGGAAAUUCUGCAAGAGAAAACGCUGGACAUCGUACGACCUUGACUCCGCGCACACAUCGGGUACCGUUGUCUGUCUAGGAAAUUUUUUCCCGGUGACCAUGCGCGACGGCUGCGAGAAAGCCCCGUGCGUAAGUAGACGAUGACAAAGAUUAUUACAGGCACAUACCGGGUUCGCCGUGGGUGUACCUUCCGUUUGAUGUCGACUACUUUUGUCUAACGGCUCGGUAUAGCCAUUAAAUGCGUGCGGUAUGUCAACAAAUGAAAUUUAGCACGAGUCGUCCGUUGCUUCGUUUCUCGGUGAUUUAGUGUUGAUUCUUACUCUCAUUGCUUCCGACUUUCCCUUUCGUUUCAUCGUUUUGCAAUAAAAGAAAAAAUGUUUUUCUCUUGGGUUUUCCCAACUUCCAUCGUAUAAUUCCCUUUUUCUGUGUUUUAAUGUUGAU